rnacentral:rRNA from 1 species
GACGAACGCUGGCGGCGUGCUUAACACAUGCAAGUCGAACGGAAAGGCCCUGCUUUUGUGGGGUGCUCGAGUGGCGAACGGGUGAGUAACACGUGAGUAACCUGCCCUUGACUUUGGGAUAACUUCAGGAAACUGGGGCUAAUACCGGAUAGGAGCUCCUGCUGCAUGGUGGGGGUUGGAAAGUUUCGGCGGUUGGGGAUGGACUCGCGGCUUAUCAGCUUGUUGGUGGGGUAGUGGCUUACCAAGGCUUUGACGGGUAGCCGGCCUGAGAGGGUGACCGGCAACAUUGGGACUGAGAUACGGCCCAGACUCCUACGGGAGGCAGCAGUAGGGAAUAUUGCACAAUGGGCGGAAGCCUGAUGCAGCAACGCCGCGUGCGGGAUGACGGCCUUCGGGUUGUAAACCGUUUUCGCCUGUGACGAAGCGUGAGUGAAGGUAAUGGGUAAAGAAGCACCGGCUAACUACGUG